AUUGAACGCUGGCGGCAGGCCUAACACAUGCAAGUCGAACGAGUGGCGGACGGGUGAGUAAUGUCUGGGAAACUGCCUGAUGGAGGGGGAUAACUACUGGAAACGGUAGCUAAUACCGCAUACCCUCAGAUGUGCCCAGAUGGGAUUAGCUAGUUGGUGGGGUAACGGCUCACCAAGGCGACGAUCCCUAGCUGGGCUGAGAGGAUGACCAGCAACACUGAAACGGAGAAACGGUCCAAACUCCUACGGGAGGAAGCAGUGGGGAUCAUGGCACAAGGGGGGCAAGCCGGAUGCAGCCAUGCCGCUUAUAGGAAGAAGGCCUUCGGGUUGUAAAGUACUUUCAUCGGGGAGGCGUUACCCGAAUAAAAAGCAACGGCUAACGCCGUGCCAGCAGCCGCGGUAAUAC
rnacentral:rRNA from 1 species